AUAGGAAGUAUUAUUUUUUCUAAUGGUUGGAUUUUUAUAAAAUUUGUUUAAAGAUUUAAAGACUAAGUUUGUGCCAGCAGUCGCGGUCAUACUCUAUUUUUUGAAUUUUUUUGGUUUUAAGGUGGGAAAGUUUUUCUAUUUUUAUAAGGUGAUAUUUGAAAAUUAUUUUUUUUUGCCUAAUUCAGUAACUUUAGUAAGGAAUAGGAUUAGAUACCCUAGUACUAAUAAGGAUUAUUAAUAAAGUAGUAAACUAAGAAAGUUAAACUUAAUUCUUUUGGCGGUUUUUCAACCUGUUACAGGAAUUUGUUAAAUUUAAUAGAUAACCCGCUUUUAAAAUUACCUUUUUAAAUUUUAUGUGCGGCUGUUAAGUUUUGGUGUAAUAACUUUUACAAAAAAAGUAUUAUGUUCCUAAUUCAGGUCAAUGUGUAGAGCAUAGAAAGGUUUUUAAUGAGUUACUUUAUUAGGAUUUUGUUAUUAAAUACAAUUUAAUCUGGAUGUAAUAGUAAAUUUAAAAUUAAAUUUUAAAUUGAUGCAGGAUCUGGAAAAAGUACAUAUCGCCCGUCGCUCUUUUGAUAGAUAAGUCGUAACAAAGUAGGAGUACUGGAAGGUUCUCCUUGUUUAGA
rnacentral:rRNA from 1 species